rnacentral:rRNA from 1 species
CCGUAGGUGAACGUGCGGAGGGAUCAUUA